CGACAGGCUUUUCUGAAAGCCAUUUUUUUACUUACUUACAUGCUUU
rfam:Corvus brachyrhynchos isolate BGI_N302 unplaced genomic scaffold scaffold142, whole genome shotgun sequence.